GCGCGGGUGGCGGAACUGGCAGACGCGCACGUUUGAGGGGCGUGUGACCGAAAGGUUGUAAGGGUUCGAGUCCCUUCUCGCGCA
rnacentral:tRNA from 1 species